rnacentral:lncRNA from 10 species
CGGUACCUCAGAUGGAAAUGCAGAAAUCACCGUCUUCUGCGUCGCUCACGCUGGGAGCUGUAGACCGGAGCUCGAGAACUACUUUUUAAUAGAUUUGGGACCGCUGCUUUCAAUUAUGGCCACAUGCCACUUGUACCUCAGCUACUGUGACUCAUAAUGACUGACCCUUCAAAGCAAUGUAAUCUCUGUAUCAUUUUCUUUUUCUGCAGUAGGGCUUGGGAUUAGCCAUUGCCAUAGAAUGGAGUGAAUAACAGAGAAGAGAAACUGUGACUAAUUUAAGAGUGAUAAUCAUACAAUUGCAAUUUGGAGAAGAUUGACCUGAAAGAACUGCAGAGGAAGCAUGCUCUUUGUGUAAGAAAUCCUUAAAUUCCACACAAAAUCUAUAUAGUCUUCCUGGACAUGAUGCAUAAGGAAAUCCUAAGACUGCAUGCCGAGUUUAACCAAUUAAACUGGAAUAAACUGGAAUGAAUUUGCAUUUGGGAAGUAAAACACUAUCCAAGGGGCAUAAGAACAGCUGGGCUCCUACUGAAGGAGACACAUAUGGUGUUCAUUGUGGGGUUUUGCUUCUUAUUCCCUUUGAGUAAGAAUAAAAUGAUCUUAUUUUUUGCUCUUCAAAAAUCUUCUCUGGUUAUUUUUCUGGUGUCAUUGGCUGGCAUAUUCCGAUCCAUAGGAAGAAGAAGGGAGCAGAGAUGAAGUCUUCCUCUCCUACUGCCUCUG